CAAGCAAGGUGUUGGUGGUGCUGGUAAACCCCCUGACACUCUCAGCCAUGUGCCGUCUGAACCGCCAGCACAUUUUAUUGUGGAUGACGAAUAUCCUAUUGAAUGGAGGUAGCUGUUGUGAUAAUUCAAACAGUAGUACACCUAUUACUGCUAACAAUACCCCUACAAAUGCCAUGGAAAAUGAAAACUUUUGACAAAGGAACUCACUUUAUUUAUUCUCAUCGGACUGCCAGUGAUGGGCUUUUUGCUGCUUCUCUCUUUGACUUGUCAGUGCAUAUCAUGCAUUUACAUUAUGUCCAGAAAAGCUGAACCUACAGUCAUUGCUUCACCAAAAGAGGACAAGGAGCAGACCAUAGUGGCAGGUGAAGAGGAGUUAUGGUACACCACAGUGAAGUUUAACAAAGAGGCCAAAAAUCCUGAUCAAAUGACAAAUUUUGAUCAAAAAUCUGAAUAUGCAACAGUGGUCAUUAAAACACCGGACCGCCGCUCUCUACAACUGGACCUGGCAGAUGAAGCUGAGGAGUCCAAUGAAAUAUGUAUUGAUUAGAGAAUCAUUUGCUUUUCAAUAGCAUUGUUAUUUUUAUAUAUAUUUGAUUUAUUUGUAUGCUAUAACUGUUUUGAAGAUUUACGUUUCAUUGCAUUCAGCAGACUAGAUUUUUAGACUAACUUUGAAUAUGUAUAAUCUGCAUUAGCAUAACAUCACAGUACAUGUACAUUUAUUUCUAAUUUGUUUUAUUUUAUUUUUUGCUUUUAGGUUUAGAAAUAAAUGGAAAAAAAUUUACAAACAAAA